rnacentral:rRNA from 1 species
UACGAAGGGUGCAAGCGUUAAUCGGAAUUACUGGGCGUAAAGGGUGCGUAGGCGGUUCGUUAAGUCUGUCGUGAAAUCCCCGAGCUCAACUUGGGAAUUGCAGUGGAUACUGGCAGGCUGGAGUAUGGUAGAGGAAGGUGGAAUUCCCGGUGUAGCAGUGAAAUGCGUAGAGAUCGGGAGGAACAUCAGUGGCGAAGGCGGCCAUCUGGGACAACACUGACGCUGAAGCACGAAAGCGUGGGGAGCAAACAGG